rnacentral:rRNA from 1 species
UACGAAGGGGGCUAGCGUUGCUCGGAUUGACUGGGCGUAAAGGGCGCGUAGGCGGCACGGCAAGUCAGGAGUGAAAGGCCUGGGCUCAACCUGGGAAUUGCUUUUGAAACUGCCGAGCUAGAGUGCGGAAGGGGCAACUGGAAUUCCCAGUGUAGCGGUGAAAUGCGUAGAUAUUGGGAAGAACACCUGAGGCGAAGGCGGGUUGCUGGGCCGACACUGACGCUGAUGCGCGAAAGCGUGGGGAGCAAACAGG